GCAGCCUGCGGUUCAAUUGGACCCAACGCCGGGAAACUUACCAGGGGAGACAGUAGAAUGCAGGUCAGGUUGACGACCUUACCUGACGAGCUGAGAGGAGGUGCAUGGCCGUCGCCAGUUCGUGCUGUAAGGUAUCCUGUUAAGUCAGGCAACGAACGAGAUCCGCGCCUUUAUUUGCCACCAAGAAGUUACGACUUCGUUGGGAACACUAAAGGGACCGCCGUCGAUAAGACGGAGGAAGGAGCGGGCAAAGGCAGGUCAGUAUGCCCCGAAACCCCUGGGCUACACGCGGGCUGCAAUGGUAUGAACAAUGGGCAGUAACUCCGAAAGGAGAAACCAAUCCCGAAAUCAUAUCUCAGUUGGAAUUGUCGGCUGUAACCCGCUGACAUGAACGUGGAAUCCCUAGUAAUCGUGUGUCAUCAUCGCACGGUGAAUACGUCUCUGCUCCUUGCACACACCGCCCGUCGCUCCAUCCGAGUGUACUAAAAAUGAGGUUUGGUCAAUUUGGUCGUAUCGAGUUUCUAGUAUGCGAGGAGGGAGAAGUCGUAACAAGGUAGCCG
rnacentral:rRNA from 1 species